CACGAACCGUACGAACGUUAUUCGGAAUUACUGGGCUUAAAGGGUUUGUAGGCGGCCUUGUAAGUCAGGUGUGAAAUCCCUCGGCUCAACCGAGGAAUGGCGCCUGAUACUGCACGGCUUGAGGGAGACAGGGGUAAGCGGAACUGAUGGUGGAGCGGUGAAAUGCGUUGAUAUCAUCAGGAACACCGGUGGCGAAAGCGGCUUACUGGGUCUCUUCUGACGCUGAGGAACGAAAGCUAGGGUAGCGAACGGG
rnacentral:rRNA from 1 species